GACGAACGCUGGCGGCGUGCUUAACACAUGCAAGUCGAACGGAAAGGCCCUGCUUUUGUGGGGUGCUUGAGUGGCGAACGGGUGAGUAACACGUGAGUAACCUGCCCUUGACUUUGGGAUAACUUCAGGAAACUGGGGCUAAUACCGGAUAGGAGCUCCUGCUGCAUGGUGGGGGUUGGAAAGUUUCGGCGGUUGGGGAUGGACUCGCGGCUUAUCAGCUUGUUGGUGGGGUAGUGGCUUACCAAGGCUUUGACGGGUAGCCGGCCUGAGAGGGUGGCCGGCCACAUUGGGACUGAGAUACGGCCCAGACUCCUACGGGAGGCAGCAGUGGGGAAUAUUGCACAAUGGGCGGAAGCCUGAUGCAGCAACGCCGCGUGCGGGAUGACGGCCUUCGGGUUGUAAACCGCUUUCGCCUGUGACGAAGCGUGAGUGACGGCAAUGGGUAAAGAAGCACCGGCUAACUACGUG
rnacentral:rRNA from 1 species